CCCUGAUGCACAAGGUACCUAACCGUACUUUUUUAUUUUUUAACAAAAAAUUUUCAUUUUUCCCUUUCAGUAAAAAAAAUAAUUUUUCUUAUUAAAAUACAAAAUUUGUAAAAUUUUCAUUAUUUUAUCUGUAAUUAUUUUAUUUAAUUUGAAAAA
rnacentral:rRNA from 1 species